rnacentral:rRNA from 1 species
CCUACGGGAGGCAGCAGUGAGGAAUAUUGGUCAAUGGGCGGGAGCCUGAACCAGCCAAGUCGCGUGAGGGAAGACGGUCCUAUGGAUUGUAAACCUCUUUAGGCGGGGAGCAAUGCCGGGCACGCGUGCCCGGAGGGAGAGUACCCGCAGAAUAAGCAUCGGCUAACUCCGUGCCAGCAGCCGCGGUAAUACGGAGGCUGGGAGCGUUAUCCGGAUUUAUGGGGUUUAAAGGGUGCGUAGGCGGAUUUUUAAGUCAGCGGUAAAAUGUUCGGGCUCAACCCGGGCCGGCCGUUGAAACUGGGGAUCUUGAGUGGGCGAGAAGUAUGCGGAAUGCGUGGUGUAGCGGUGAAAUGCAUAGAUAUCACGCAGAACUCCGAUUGCGAAGGCAGCAUACCGGCGCCCGACUGACGCUGAGGCACGAAAGCGUGGGGAUCGAACAGGAUUAGAUACCCUGGUAGUC